rnacentral:rRNA from 1 species
GUAAUGUCUGGGAAACUGCCUGAUGGAGGGGGAUAACUACUGGAAACGGUAGCUAAUACCGCAUAACGUCGCAAGACCAAAGAGGGGGACCUUCGGGCCUCUUGCCAUCAGAUGUGCCCAGAUGGGAUUAGCUAGUAGGUGGGGUAACGGCUCACCUAGGCGACGAUCCCUAGCUGGUCUGAGAGGAUGACCAGCCACACUGGAACUGAGACACGGUCCAGACUCCUACGGGAGGCAGCAGUGGGGAAUAUUGCACAAUGGGCGCAAGCCUGAUGCAGCCAUGCCGCGUGUAUGAAGAAGGCCUUCGGGUUGUAAAGUACUUUCAGCGGGGAGGAAGGCGAUAAGGUUAAUAACCUUGUCGAUUGACGUUACCCGCAGAAGAAGCACCGGCUAACUCCGUGCCAGCAGCCGCGGUAAUACGGAGGGUGCAAGCGUUAAUCGGAAUUACUGGGCGUAAAGCGCACGCAGGCGGUCUGUCAAGUCGGAUGUGAAAUCCCCGGGCUCAACCUGGGAACUGCAUUCGAAACUGGCAGGCUAGAGUCUUGUAGAGGGGGGUAGAAUUCCAGGUGUAGCGGUGAAAUGCGUAGAGAUCUGGAGGAAUACCGGUGGCGAAGGCGGCCCCCUGGACAAAGACUGACGCUCA